CCUCCCGGGAUAGCCUUAGUAACGGCGAGAGAAGCGGCAAAAGCUCAAAUUUGAAAUCUGGUACCUUCGGUGCCCGAGUUUGUAAUUUGGAGAGGGCAACUUUGGGGCCGUUCCUUGUCUAUGUUCCUUGGAACAGGACGUCAUAGAGGGUGAGAAUCCCGUGUGGCGAGGAGUGCGGUUCUUUGUAAAGUGCCUUCGAAGAGUCGAGUUGUUUGGGAAUGCAGCUCUAAGUGGGUGGGUAAAUUCCAUCUAAAGCUAAAUAUUGGCGAGAGACCGAUAGCGAACAAGUACAGUGAUGGAAAGAUGAAAAGAACUUUGAAAAGAGAGUGAAAAAGUACGUGAAAUUGUUGAAAGGGAAGGGCAUUUGAUCAGACAUGGUGUUUUGUGCCCUCUGCUCCUUGUGGG
rnacentral:rRNA from 1 species